UGAUUCACACUUACAAGUAGGCCUAAGAGCAGCCACCUUUUAAAAAGCGUCAAAGCUUAACUCUGUUUAUCUUAAUCCGCAAACCCCUAUAGACCCUUUAAUAAUACUGAGAACUUCUAUAACUUUAUAGAACUUUUUAUGNUAAAACUAGUAACAAGAAACCCCAUUUUUUAAUGCAAACAAAAGCCAGCAAGUACCCGUCANUGGCAAAUAACACCAUAAAUGUAGCAACCUCACCAGAAAACCCUACUUUUCCCCCCCCCCGUUAACCUAACACCAGAGCAUUUCAAGAAAGAUUAAAAGAAAAAGAAGGAAUUCGGCAAACAAUUAACUUCGCCUGUUUACCAAAAACAUCGCCUCUUGCUUUCCCCCUAAGAGGUCUAGCCUGCCCAGUGACUCUGUUUAACGGCCGCGGUAUCCUAACCGUGCGAAGGUAGCGUAAUCACUUGUCUUCUAAAUAAAGACUAGUAUGAAAGGCAUCACGAAAGUUGAACUGUCUCCUUUCUCUAAUCAGUGAACCUAAUCUCCCCGUGAAGAAGCGGGGAUUCUACUAUAAGACGAGAAGACCCUAUGGAGCUUAAAACAUCAUAACACCUGCUGCACUUUUAAAAUCUCAACACUACCCCCCGCACAUUGAUUAUAAGUUUUUGGUUGGGGUGACCGCGGAGAAAAUCUCAUCCUCCGUAAUGAAAGGGGACUCCCCUAAACUAUAAGUUACAACUUUAUGUAUCAACAAAUUGACAUCCAUUGACCCAACAAAUUGAUCAACGAACCAAGUUACCCUAGGGAUAACAGCGCAAUCCACUUCAAGAGUCCCUAUCGACAAGUGGGCUUACGACCUCGAUGUUGGAUCGGGGUAUCCUGGUGGUGGAGCCGCUACUAAGGGUUCGUUUGUUCAACGAUUAAAACCCCACGUGAUCUGAGUUCAGACCGGAGCAAUCCAGGUCAGUUUCUAUCUAUAAAAAGCUCUUUUCAGUACGAAAGGACCAAAAUAGCACGGCCUAUACUCAUUGUACGCCGCAGUUAAUAACUUUAGACUAUCCCCCCCCCUUAAAAAAUUAUUGACUUUCCCCU
rnacentral:rRNA from 1 species